UCUCCGGUGGUGAACCAGCGGAGGGAUCAUUACCGAGUUUACAACUCCCAAACCCAAUGUGAACCAUACCAAACUGUUGCCUCGGCGGGGUCACGCCCCGGGUGCGUCGCAGCCCCGGAACCAGGCGCCCGCCGGAGGGACCAACCAAACUCUUUCUGUAGUCCCCUCGCGGACGUUAUUUUUACAGCUCUGAGCAAAAAUUCAAAAUGAAUCAAAACUUUCAACAACGGAUCUCUUGGUUCUG
rnacentral:misc_RNA from 1 species